UCUUCCUGUGGGUGUCUUGUUCCCGACCCUUUGGUGGGCAGUAAUAGUAGCCGAGCUGGCAGGCGGUUUCCCCUGCUUUAUAAGGCUUUGCAGGAGUUCGGGGUUUUCCGACUGCAGGCAGAUGAAGGACAACGGUCUGUGGCGAGAGGGCAUUGGAAUGUGACAGAGAAGCCUGCCGGCAGGGCCGAAACGGAAGACACCCUUACUAUCCCCACCAUUGAAUGAUACUUGGAGACUUAUGCUCUCAGAGCCGGUUGUCACAUCUUUGAAGACUUUGCCGAUAACCUCCAAGAUGCUCUUUAUUCUCUUUUCUUGCUAUUAUUUUACCGUGGGUGUUUGAAUAUUGUGCUUGUUACACUCAACAAGUAUUUAUUGUAUGAAUGACAUUAAUCUAUUUUAAAAUGCCAUCAUAUUUGAGAGGUGAGAACUAGAACUGUGCCUUUCACUUGCUGUACAUGUGUAUUGACAAUAAAACUUGGAUGAUGAAC